CUGGUUGCUGACCCCACACUCCUCAAGUCCUCUGUCUGCAGGAUACUAGGAUGCUGACCUUUCAUCAUUCCACUGACGUUAUGUGGCCUAAAAUCCUCAGCUUGAAGACUCAAAUUAUCGAAACUUCAGGGGAAAAAUUUAAACUUUCCUACACCAGAAUCAGCGUGAGAGAAGAACCUAGUUGCCACCCCAGCCAGACACUCCCUUGCACCAUAUUUGCUUGUCUAAUGAUGUACUUGCUUAGAAGUUCCAGGGGCUAAUCUUGAAAUAAACCAGGCAUAGAGAUCCAGUUGUGGAAGUCUCCCCCACCUAGAAAUUGCCUCAAGAUGGUUAAUCUACAACCCAACCAUUGUCAAAAUGAUCCCAGUUCAUACUCCAGGUGGACAACAACUCAAGAUAGCCAUUGGAGCAAGAUAUGCCGACCUCCAUCCUGCACCACUCCCCCAUGCUUCCCAUAGCAAGUUUCCCUUCCCAACCCCCUUCACUUAACCUGAAAAUUUGAGAUGGUUCUUUGAGACCUAAGUCCAGCCGUUCUUCUCAAUGGCUAGCCUUUGAAUAAAACUGCUUUCCUCCAUUCCA
rnacentral:lncRNA from 1 species